rnacentral:rRNA from 1 species
AUACGUACUGUGCGAACGUUAUUCGGAAUCACUGGGCUUAAAGGGUGCGUAGGCGGUUACUUAAGUAGGGUGUGAAAUCCCAUGGCUCAACCAUGGAACUGCGCUCUAAACUGGGUAACUGGAGUGAGAUAGGGGUAUGCGGAACUUCCAGUGGAGCGGUGAAAUGUGCAGAUAUUGGAAGGAACACCGGUGGCGAAGGCGGCAUACUGGGGUUUGUCUGACGCUGAGGAACGAAAGCGUGGGUAGCAAACAGGAUUAGAAACCCCAGUAGUCC